rnacentral:rRNA from 1 species
GAGAGUUUGAUCCUGGCUCAGGACGAACGCUGGCGGCGUGCCUAAUACAUGCAAGUCGAGCGGACAGAUGGGAGCUUGCUCCCUGAUGUUAGCGGCGGACGGGUGAGUAACACGUGGGUAACCUGCCUGUAAGACUGGGAUAACUCCGGGAAACCGGGGCUAAUACCGGAUGCUUGUUUGAACCGCAUGGUUCAGACAUAAAAAGUGGCUUCGGCUACCACUUACAGAUGGACCCGCGGCGCAUUAGCUAGUUGGUGAGGUAACGGCUCACCAAGGCAACGAUGCGUAGCCGACCUGAGAGGGUGAUCGGCCACACUGGGACUGAGACACGGCCCAGACUCCUACGGGAGGCAGCAGUAGGGAAUCUUCCGCAAUGGACGAAAGUCUGACGGAGCAACGCCGCGUGAGUGAUGAAGGUUUUCGGAUCGUAAAGCUCUGUUGUUAGGGAAGAACAAGUGCCGUUCAAAUAGGGCGGCACCUUGACGGUACCUAACCAGAAAGCCACGGCUAACUACGUGCCAGCAGCCGCGGUAAUACGUAGGUGGCAAGCGUUGUCCGGAAUUAUUGGGCGUAAAGGGCUCGCAGGCGGUUUCUUAAGUCUGAUGUGAAAGCCCCCGGCUCAACCGGGGAGGGUCAUUGGAAACUGGGGAACUUGAGUGCAGAAGAGGAGAGUGGAAUUCCACGUGUAGCGGUGAAAUGCGUAGAGAUGUGGAGGAACACCAGUGGCGAAGGCGACUCUCUGGUCUGUAACUGACGCUGAGGAGCGAAAGCGUGGGGAGCGAACAGGAUUAGAUACCCUGGUAGUCCACGCCGUAAACGAUGAGUGCUAAGUGUUAGGGGGUUUCCGCCCCUUAGUGCUGCAGCUAACGCAUUAAGCACUCCGCCUGGGGAGUACGGUCGCAAGACUGAAACUCAAAGGAAUUGACGGGGGCCCGCACAAGCGGUGGAGCAUGUGGUUUAUUUCGAAGCAACGCGAAGAACCUUACCAGGUCUUGACAUCCUCUGACAAUCCUAGAGAUAGGACGUCCCCUUCGGGGGCAGAGUGACAGGUGGUGCAUGGUUGUCGUCAGCUCGUGUCGUGAGAUGUUGGGUUAAGUCCCGUAACGAGCGCAACCCUUGAUCUUAGUUGCCAGCAUUCAGUUGGGCACUCUAAGGUGACUGCCGGUGACAAACCGGAGGAAGGUGGGGAUGACGUCAAAUCAUCAUGCCCCUUAUGACCUGGGCUACACACGUGCUACAAUGGACAGAACAAAGGGCAGCGAAACCGCGAGGUUAAGCCAAUCCCACAAAUCUGUUCUCAGUUCGGAUCGCAGUCUGCAACUCGACUGCGUGAAGCUGGAAUCGCUAGUAAUCGCGGAUCAGCAUGCCGCGGUGAAUACGUUCCCGGGCCUUGUACACACCGCCCGUCACACCACGAGAGUUUGUAACACCCGAAGUCGGUGAGGUAACCUUUUAGGAGCCAGCCGCCGAAGGUGGGACAGAUGAUUGGGGUGAAGUCGUAACAAGGUAGCCGUAUCGGAAGGUGCGGCUGGAUCACCUCCUU